GUCCCUGUAGUGCAUUGGAUAGCACUUCGGACUCCUAAUCCAAAGGUUGUGGGUUCGAAUCUCACCUGGGAUG